rnacentral:tRNA from 1 species
GCCUGUGUAGCUCAGUUGGUUAGAGCGCGUCAUUGGUAAUGACGAGGUCCUGAGUUCAAAUCUCAGCACAGGCU